GAUGAACGCUGGCGGCGUGCCUAAUACAUGCAAGUCGAGCGAACAGACGAGGAGCUUGCUCCUCUGACGUUAGCGGCGGACGGGUGAGUAACACGUGGAUAACCUACCUAUAAGACUGGGAUAACUUCGGGAAACCGGAGCUAAUACCGGAUAAUAUAUUGAACCGCAUGGUUCAAUAGUGAAAGACGGUUUUGCUGUCACUUAUAGAUGGAUCCGCGCCGCAUUAGCUAGUUGGUAAGGUAACGGCUUACCAAGGCAACGAUGCGUAGCCGACCUGAGAGGUGGUACGGCCCACAGGGACCUGAACACGGUCCCAACCCCCAAGGGGGGGAAGAAGUAGGAAACUUUCCGAAAGGGGGGAAAGCUGGAGGGGGCAAGCCGCGGGGGGGAAUGAAGGUUUUCGGUUCGAAAAACCCUUUUAUUGGGAAAAAAAAAAUUUGAAAGUAACUAUGCACGUUUUGACGGUACCAAUAAAAAAAGCCCCGGCUAACUACGU
rnacentral:rRNA from 1 species